CUUUACUGUUCGUCAGCAAAACGUUGGCGCAUAUUUUGUAUCUAUCGUUUGAUUACGUGCAACAUUGCACGCAAAUCAACGCGCCAAAAUACUAACAUUGACCGUGGCAGAGCACUUGACACCAAACGUGUCAACUGAUAUCGCUCAAUAUAAAUUUAAUGCGAAGUAAACAUCGAAACACGACCGAAGAUGUACAUAGCUAAGCUGAUGAAAUCCAGGGAACUGUACCUGCCAUCUUAUGAUUGUAAGAAGAACUAGUUUCCUGCAAAAGUUUACGCACCAAGUCAGAAGCAAAAAUAAGUUUCAAGGAAUAUGUUAUCUUUUGCAAAGGUUAUAAGGAAACUUGGGAAUACCGUCAUGUUUCGAUUCUGGCUAAAUUUUGUAUACAAGCUCCUUUUUUUCGAAAGAUUUGUGAGGACGGUUUUUGACGACUCGAAUUAUGGAGAGAUGCAGUAUAGUGUGCAACCUGUUCUGAACACAACAAUUCAUAUACCGAGAGGCGACGUCACAUCUUCUGGCGCUAGGUGGAAUAUUCCUUGUGCUCGAAGUUUGUAAUUUUAAACUGUUCAGAUUAAUUUUGUAAGUGUUUCUUUAUUGCAUUUGUACAACAUAAUUGCUUCGUUCAUACAACAAUUUUAUGAUGGCAUUAAAGUGUUUUUUUAAGGUACUGGAUUGGUUUAUACUAAUUAAAAUCAAGGAUAGUAACAGUCUUUCUAAUAAUACUUUCAUCAUUCUUUACUAGAUGGCACUGACAAAUGUAGCUAGAUGGCUGGAUGGUAAAUGUAGUGGUUCUGGAUUAUUUUAAACAAGAAAGCUACGUAAUUUAAAAUCAAAAUAAGCUAUAAUCGAUUUUAAACACCAUGAAAUAAAAAAGGAACGAUCAUGACGAUAGGAAGAGGUUUUCAAACUGGAAUCAUUUCUUUCACCGUUAUCUGCGACAACAUGAAUUUCCUGCAUCCAGAAUGUUCACAAAAGUAUUUCUAAUCGAUAACGGUCAAGUGUGUUCGUUCGAUCGAUAACACAUUACGUUCAUAAAACGUAAUCUGCGUAACGAAGUAGAUGAAAAUCCAGUUAGAACACGAAAGAAACUACCAAUAUAAUGAGAUAA